UUCUUUUAUUCUUCUGCACUCUCGAAGAAGAAACGCCUCUCUCUCUCUCUCUCUCUCUGUGUGUGUGUAUGUGUGUGCUUCGCGAUGGAGACGCGCUCUUUCU
rnacentral:ribozyme from 1 species